AUUCAUGAAUUAUUCAUGGAAAUGCAAGGUUUAUUCAUGCUCUUGGAAAAGGGAGGAGAACUGGGGGAUAGGGGGAGAAGGGCCCCUUCUCAAGAUUUUUUUCGUUCUUUCUUUCCUGCCCCCCCCCCUUUUUGAUAAAAAUCCUUGCUUGUAUUUAUUUUUCUGUUGUCCCCUUCUGUAAAGGCGUGAUGUUGACACAGGCUUCUCAGAAAAUGAAAGCCAUAAAGGAUCUGUGAUGAUGAAGAACGACAGCAAAAGAAACACAAGACAAUCUCCUCUUCUGCAACCAGCAGCUGAAUACUGAAUAGCCAGAAGACAUUUUGUAAGAAGACUCCAAAGUGAAACAGGCAAGAACUAUCAUCCCACCUGCCAAUGGCUGCCAAACUUUAUGUUCUUGUCAGCUGGCCAGAUGGGAGCCGUGUCAUCAACAUUGAAAACAUCAAGGAGCCACGAAAGUCCUUCCACUUGUACAGAGUUGGUGAGCAGGUUUUGGCCCGAUGUCCAGGCUUCAGUGGUUUGUACUGGGGGAUUGUCGAAGGGAUCAGUGAGAAUAAAUAUGUUCUGGAGCGAAAGCUACAAGAAGAUAAAGAACUCCUAGAGAUGUUGGAAGAGCAGCCAAACAUAGCAAAUUGGGGGCCCACCCAACCCAAAAAGUCAAGGAAAUUCUUUCCCAAAUGGAAUCCGGGAUCUGGUUUGAGGAAAUGUAGCAAGGAUAAAUCCUUCAGGAUGGUGGAGGAAGCUGCAAAAGCUCAUUUCCAACAAGAACCUCCUCCAUCUUCUGGUCUACACGAGGGAUACAGCCAUAGUGCCAUGAUGAAGAGCUAUUCCCCUGAGUCAGUGAUUUCCCAGUCUCCGGGUCCUUUUCAGACAUCAUCUUCUUUCCUAUCUUUAUCUGCCAGUGGAAUAUCUCAAAGAAGUGGAACAAGAGUGAACCGAGGAAGCCGAGAUUACUCGACCAUAAUAACAAGGAGAAAAAUGGAUGAUCCUGUAGAACAAUGUCAGAAGCGGAUCUGUAUAAACAGCUUUGAUGAGUCAAAGGGCACCAAUUCCCUGGAAAUUGAUGGUUUGGAGCUUGUUCGGAAAGCUAUUGAAAAGGAAAGAGAGGAGAAGAUUGAACAAUUGGAGCGAAUGGUCUUGGGUCUCCAGCGAGAAGUCCUCUCCUUGAAGCAGAAGGUGCAGCACCUUGAAGGUGCCUCUUUUCAGGAGCAGAAACCUCCAUGCCAACCGUGUGAGGUCUCUGAACUAUUCAAUGGAUACACAAGGGACCAACUCAAAGAGGCCAUCCGGUUUGACCAAAAAAUCAGCACCGCUUGCAAAACUCUCCUCUACAAGCUCUUCACAUCAGAUUACAUCCAAAGUCAUUCCAUCACCGGGAGGAGAGGCAAUACAUUCCGGGAAGCUAAGCCCAUGAUGGAUGAGAGGUGCAUCAAAAUAAUCCGAGUGUUGCUGAAGCAGAAGUUUGGGGACCAUCUGAGUGAUACAGUGAUCACUGAGAAGAUCCAAAAUGUGCAGAAAGCAUUGAGGCAGAAAUUUAAGACUGAAUGUCUCUGAUUCUCCAGUAACCAGGCAUAUCCCACCUGCAUACAAGGAUAAAGCUUUAAAAUAUAAUUACUUUGGAUUUUCUAUUGAGUUGAUAUCAUCCUAAAUAUUUCCUAUCAUCCACUCUUUCACAUAUGGAAGUAUGGCACUAUGAUUCCACUUUAAACUCCAUGUCAACAUCCUAUAGAUUCAUGAAAUUUGCAUUUAGAAGAUGAAUAUUGAGAACUCUCUCCCACAAUGUUCCAAUGUCUUCUAUACUACAAAUCCAAGAAUCCCAUAGAAUGUUGCCAUGGCAGUUAAAGUAGAAUCAUAGAACUAUAAUUCAGUAUAAAAAAUAGAAAGUUAUUCCACAUGUGAACCUCCUUUUAAAAUAUUGUUUGUGAAUAGCUGAUGCACUGUAAGUGAGAAUACAAGUUUCUUGCUACCCUGUGGAGCUCUAGUCUUUGCUUCUUCUGGCAAGGGCUAGGUAGUAAGUGACGCAGAGAGUUGCUGCUAGUCAAAGUUGAAAGCAUUGAAGAAAACAAACUAAUUGUCUCAAUGAGUAAUAUGAAGCUUUAUAUUUUAGCAGUACACUUAAAAGCAGCAUAUUCCUGCACAUUUUAUUUUAUGGCAUGGGAAGUUAUAUAUCACAGAUCCAAGAAUUUGGGAAGUUGUUCUCCAGAUGAAUGUUUCCAAACUUUGUUUUUUCACUGUGUGGAAUCCUAUUGGUGAUUUAUGUCUUCAUAAAUGUCCUUGUGACUUUGGAAAUUAGAAUUGGACAAUUUCAUAAUAUUUAUAUCUAGUAAGGGAAAAUGGUUGUUUUUCUACAUAAGGGAGUCAGCAAAUACAGCAAAUAUGCAUUGGGAAUGAUGCUCAAUUAAUGUGCAUUUGUCCAUUGUACAUCAGGACACAAAAUAGACAGUACCAAUGAACAUCAGGAGAAACGCUUGCUGUGGUCCUCUUCCACAUCUUUGCAGUUCAGUAGCAGGGAUUUCUAGCAGCUUGGCCAUGUAGCUACAGAUGGAUAAAAUUAUGUAAUAUAGACUAUGAUUGUCAUGGCUAAUGCCAGCAUGAGGAGAUGGAGGAAGGAUGACUUCUCCCGGUCUUCUAGUUGGGCUCAAAUACAGAGCAAGAGCAGGUGCAGCCAGACAGACACUGAAGAGGCCACCACUUCUGAACAGGAACAACAGCCACACCAAGUGGACAAUGAAAAACUUACCACUCCUUUGGGCUCACAGCAAGGGCAGGAUUGGGACCUUAAACUAGGAGACCAGGGGUUAAAUAUUCCAGACUGGCUACAAUUAAGGACAGAUGGGAUUCAAGUGUAGAGAUCUAGUCAUUUGGCUGAAAAGAGGGCCAGCAGGUGGGAGAACUUGAGAAAUCUGUAUACAUAGCUGAAGUCUGGAAUAGUUGCUGGUGGCAACGUUGGUUUUUGAGCUGCAGCCUUGAUAAUUGUGCUUUGUGCCUUGAACCUUUGAAAGACAGGCUAUACCUUGGAUUGUGGAUUAUUCCUGGAAAUUGUGUUGAUGAAAUAACUUGGCUUUAGAAUAUCGGAAUGGACUUAUGGCUUACUCUCUUGUCUCAUCCUUUCUUGACCGAUUGAUUACUGUGUUGACCUCAGACUUCCCCUGGACUAAGCUUGUGUGCUCAGCUGCUUUACAGAGACAAGCAGGGCAGGACUCUGAUAAUGACAGAGGAUUCUGCUCUAUGUUAAUUGGUAUAACCUGUUGCCAUUAUGUUCUUCUACAUAUACAUCAUUUUGAGCUAUGUCACACUCUCUUUUUCUGUUAAAAUAGUUCAUAUAUUAUUUACAUUAGGCAUAGCUCUGCGUUUACAUAGAAAACAAGAGAGUCCGAGUGGAAGGAAAAUGAGGUUGUGGGCUCUCUCUGGGAGUGCAUCCUUAUUUCUUCUCCCUCUGAGAUGAGACAAAUGUGUCUUUCCAUUUAAAUCCUCAGUCCCCACCAGUAAGCAGUAUCAAGCCUCCCAGGACUUGAAACCUACAAGAUAUGUGUCCAGGUGGAGUGUUAUGUUCAUUAAGCCUGAUGUAGGCUCUUGACUCAGUUGAUCAGGACUCAAUCAACUAUUACUUGGUGAGCUUUGACUCAAGCAACAAGAAGGGAGCAAGAAGAUUCUAUCUCCCAACCAGAUGGUGGUAAACCUCAGCAAAUACUACAAUUUUUUUCUUUAUUUAAUGAUGUCCUUCAUUUUGCCUAAUGGAUCUCAAGUACAAUUUACUCUUCUCCACAAAGGGCUAGAGAACCCUUCAGAAAGAACACUUCAUGGCAGCAGAAGUGUACACCAUGACAUUUAAAUCUGGAUGAGUGGUACAUAUUUUUGCCUGGCUUAAUAAAUGUGUGGCUGUUUUGUGGA